rnacentral:rRNA from 1 species
CGUGAGGGAAAGGCGAAAAGAACCCCGGCGAGGGGAGUGAAACAGAACCUGAAACCGUGUACGUACAAGCAGUGGGAGCAUGAGUUUACUCAUGUGACUGCGUACCUUUUGUAUAAUGGGUCAGCGACUUAUAUUCUGUAGCAAGGUUAACCGUAUAGGGGAGCCGUAGGGAAACCGAGUCUUAACCGGGCGUUAAGUUGCAGGGUAUAGACCCGAAACCCGGUGAUCUAGCCAUGGGCAGGUUGAAGGUUGGGUAACACUAACUGGAGGACCGAACCGACUAAUGUUGAAAAAUUAGCGGAUGACCUGUGGCUGGGGGUGAAAGGCCAAUCAAACCGGGAGAUAGCUGGUUCUCCCCGAAAGCUAUUUAGGUAGCGCCUCGUGAACUCAUCGCCGAGUCGGCCUGCGCGGAAGAUGUAACGGGGCAAACCAUGCACCGAAGCUGCGGCAGCGACACUGUGUGUUGUUGGGUAGGGGAGCGUUCUGUAAGCCUGCGAAGGUGGCCUGUGAGGGUUGCUGGAGGUAUCAGAAGUGCGAAUGCUGACAUAAGUAACGAUAAUGCGGGUGAAAAACCCGCACGCCGGAAGACCAAGGGUUCC